UCUCCUUCCCAAUCUGUUGAUCCAGAUCAGGAAAGCAACUUGGCAGCCCAGAAAACAAAGAGAAAGAAAGGAAAACAGCAAUGGAAGCCUCGGACGCAGGCUAAAACACAACACAGCCAGGACGACAAAACGAGAACCCACAGAAUGGAGUGGACCCUCCAGAAUCGCAACAGAGGAAUUUCAGUACUCUUUAUAGCCCGACACAAUCAAAUUGUCCUUCUCUUCCUUCCUUCCUUCCUUCCUUCCUUCCUUUCUUUCUUUCUUUCUUUCUUUCUUUCUUUCUUUCUUUCUCUUUCCUUCCUUUCUUCCUUUCUUGCUUUCAUUCUUUCUUCUUCUUUUUUUCUUUUUCUGAGACUGGGAUUCUCUGUGUAGCCCUAGCUGUCCUGGAACUUGCUUUAUAUAUCAGGCUCGCCUCAAACUCACAGAGAUCCACCCACCUGUCUCUACCUCACAAAUGCUGGGAUUAGGGCAUGCACCACCAUUGUUCAGCUAAACAGAAAUUUCUUAUAUAAACCCUUUUGGUAUUUGUAACUGUUAAAUAGCACCAACUAGACAGAAAAGUCUGAAGCCAAGGGUUCUCUUGAAAUGUGAUAUAAUAAGAAUGGCAAAAAUAAUAAAUGGGCAGUAAGAAAAGUUAUCAACAGCAUUGACUAAAACUUACCCUAGGCUCUCUCAGAAUGCUUCAUAAAUACUUGAUCAUUUAAUAUUGACAUUGAUUAUAAGGGGGAUAUAAUAGUCUUCUUGUUUUUAUUUGGGAAACUGAGUCCUAGGGAGUUUAUUAAACCUGGUGGAGCAAUACUCUGGUAACAUGAGAGAAUUAAAGGUAGAUUUAAUUAAUUAAUUGUAAAAGCUUUGUUUUCUGACUGCCAUCAUCAGAGACGUGAAUAGAUAAUGGUCCCCAAGUUUGUCUUGCUAAUAAACAGAACUCUAAUCUCUAUUUUAAAAAUAUUUUGUUUUUCGCAAAUUUUCUGGUCUUGGCAGUUAUUCAUAAUCUGAUUAUUCUUCUUUAUUGACAUCAAUUCUGUAAUAUAUUCAUUUUCAAGAUUUGGCCGAGGCUAGCAUGGCCCAAAGCUUCCUACAUUCCCAGCAUGGGAUGCUAUGAUUUGCCCUUAUCUUAACCAUCUCCAAGUUAAUUGUUGGAAAAUUCAGAGGAGGUAAAGGAGCUCACAAUCUCGACUUUAAAAAGUGAAGGCCCCGUUGGGCGGUAAUGGUACAUGCCUUUAAUUCCAGCACUUGGGAGGGAGAGGCAGGUGGAUCUCUGUGAGUUCGAGGCCAGCCUGGUCUACAAGAGCUAGUUCCAGGAUAGGCUCCAAAGCUACAGAGAAACCCUGUCUCGAAAACAAACAAACAAAAAGAACAAGUGAGGGCCCCUACAUCUAGCUACUUGUUUCUAGUUCUGUGUGUCACCUCUUUCUGGUACAGGACAUCAGUUCCAAGAUGAAGAUGGAAGAUUUCAUCUAAACAAAGAGACGUUGACAUCUUAUUGUGCCAACGUUACCCAGACCCAUGAGUCUUUGGUCCUGAAUGUCAGUGGCAUAUUCUUGUAUAGCAUCUGUCUACCUACCUAUCUAAUGUUGGAGUUACUGCAUUUCACUUAGAGAUCUGCUCAUGCUCUGUUGGCUUUGCAGUGAGCAUUUCUAUCUAUUAGGUGCCAUUCUGGGACAACAGUUUGUCCUUGGGAGGCAGUGCCAAAGUGAAAAUCCAGUGAGGCAGUGUCUUGGCCUGCCUCACUGAAAGAUAUUGAAUGAAGGCCAGGCGAACUGCAUCUCCAAAGAAUGGCGCUGUGUUUCGUAAUACUUGAGUUACUUCACACGGGGCCACAUCAGGAAUCCAUUGUGAAGCUCUUCUCGCUCAGCACAGCUUGCCUUCCUGGCAGGAUUUAACAACCUCAAUUAGGAAAAUCCCAAGAAUCAUAUUUAGGAGCCUCUGGGAAGGCAUUUCAUCUCCGGUUGUCGUUCAACGUGUUGAUCCACCAAUUAUCAGACUCACUGCAGACACUUCAAAUGUCCCACACAGGCUAAGGAGUGAAGACGGCUGAAAAGCCUUUUCCUUGCUCUGACAAGGAAACCAACCGAAGGAAGGAAAGAUUGGUUUUGGCUCACAGAGGUGCCAGCCCCCAAUGGUGGACGUGGCAUCACGAAGCAGUGAAGCUCACAUCACUAUGUCCUGGAAGUGGAGAGAAUCUUCUACAAGAUGGUGCUCUUGCAGGAAGGACCCCAGGGGAGCUUGUUAAGGUGUCUCAAUAGGACCAGCUCACAGGAGUUGUAAACCCACGAGAGAAUGAGCAUUGGAAUGAGUGCUGCCAACCUGAGACCACAGCUGCCUUCAACACCAAUCCAAACAGCACACAGAGAGACGGAGCUGAGGUGGAGAAGUAAGAGCUGGGAUUCUACAUUUUAGUCCAUUCUUUAACUAAUGUGGCCCUGAACAGCCCACACUCGGUGACGUUUUGAAUAUGAACAUCUCUGGCACAUGACGUGAUGAUCUAGCCCAACGGUUCAGUUCUCAGUACAAUGGUCCACAGUUCUGAUUGAUACCUGACUGAGAAAUUGGUUUGUUUAUACAACAAACAGCAAUAAAGUUCCAGAGGACAGCAAUAGCAGGGCAGAAAGUGGCUGCUGUUCUAAACACCAGGGACGACAGUGGAGAUGUUCGGCCUUCUCAAUGGGAGGCAUACUUUCUUUUUACAGAUGGUGACCAAGCAGCAUGAAAGGAAAUCACCACUGAACGCUCAUUUGGAAAUGUGUGGCCACCUUUCUGCCUGAUGCAGCUAAUGAAAAUUUCAUUAGAGGAAUAUUUUAUUUUAAGAAAAUUCAAGCUGUAGAAUACCGCGAAGGACUCUUGCCUGGCCCCCCUCUCCUGUGUUAGAAAUGAGCAAUCUGAGACCUAGGAUGAAGAUAUAAUUUAACUCAGCUCUCGGGAUGCAUAUGCGGGCAUACGAUUUGGGGAUCUUAUGACAUGCAUUUUUUUUUUUUUUGGUUUUUCGAGACAGGGUUUCUUUGUAGCUUUGGAGCCUGUCCUGGAACUAGCUCUUGUAGACCAAGCUGGCCUCGAACUCACAGAGAUCCGCCUGCCUCUGCCUCCCGAAUGCUGGGAUUAAAGGCGUGUGCCACCACCGCCCGGCUGACAUGCAUGUGUUUUACACACACUGUAGGAAUUAUUGGCAGAAUCACAAAUUCUUCAGAUAAAGAAAUUUUCGGUGCAGACCAGGUUGGCAUUACCUCCCUGCGUGGCUUUGAUCAAGUUAGAUGCCUGGCGCUGUGAUUUCAGGAGUCAGUUAUCCUCUUUGACGCUUGAGUUUCUGUGGUUUAAAGUGAGGGGGCACUGCAUAGCUCCGCUGUUUUGAGACACUUAAAACAAGGGAGAGUCGGAGGUGCAAGGCAAUAGUUUCCUCUCUAAUAAGCAGUCAGAACUAAACACCUCUGAAACGGAAGUCUCCGAGGAUCUCUCUCCACACACCUACACAGAAGAACACAGAGCUCCUGGCUAAGUCCUAGGGCGUGACAGGUGAGGACAGAUACCUACAGCUCCCUGGAUAUCAGUUUUCCAUCAGUUUCCUUUCCAAGGCCAGUGGCCAUAAACUUUUGAAGGGUUGAACCCUAUCAGCAGCCACAUCUCGCCUCGGCAGCAGAGCACAGCAGAUAAGGUCUCUUAAAUUUUGAAAGAAUGAGGCAGGAAGUCCUUUCAGAGCCAGAGGACACAGAACAGCUGUUCCCAGGCACAGGGGCGGUGUCACCCAAAGAGUCAGGGUCAGGAGUGCCUCGAAACUGCCUUCUUUAAAGCAAGAAGCAUCUGUUGGUGCCUGAGGAGCCUUCCCCAGGCAUCAAAGCCCAGGAAUAAAUCUGCCAGAUCUUAGGGAUGAUCACACCCUCUACUCACAUUCACCCAGGGCAGUUCUGAAGUCUGUGACCUGACAGUGGGAGAUUGGCUUGAAUUAUAUCCCCUCUUCUUGGUCUCAAGUUACUCAUCACCAACAUGCAAGUGUGAGCGAGGGGAGUUGAACAGGCUCUGCUGGGAGCUUUGCUUUUAGUGAAACUUUCUUAAAUCUAAAGUACCUCCUGAAAUACUAUUCUUCUGAUCUUUUGUUUCUUUUCUUUUCUUUUCUUUUUGGGUGUGUGGGGGGGGGUUCGAUGAACUUUAUUGAUGGUGUUUAAGAGAACAGCACUCCCUAAGCACCUUGCUUUCUUCUGGGGGUCUGAGAUGAAAACUGUGAGGGGAGAUGCCCAUUGUCAGAGGCUGAAUCAGAAGGGCCUUUUUCUUGCUUUCGUGUUCUUACUGGGGUGGGUGGCCCAGGGCUUCUUACUCCCCGGAGGUCAUGUAGGCCAUGAGGUUCACCACCCUGUUGCUCUAACCAUAAUCAUUGUCAUGCCAGGAAGUGAGCUUUACGAAGUGGUCACUGAGAGCAAUGCCAGCCCCAGCAUCAAAGGUGAAAGAGCGGGAGCCACUGUUUAAAGUCACAGGAGACAACCUUGUCUUCAGUGUAGCUCAAGAUGGUAGCUCACGAUGUUCUUUAGUGGAUCCUUGAAUGCCAGCUUCAGCACCUUCUUGAUGACACCCUACUUGGCAGCUUUCUCCCGGUUGUGACAUAUCAGAUCUAUGACCGACACAUUGGGGGUAGCAGCGUGGAAGGCCAUGCCCGUGAGCUUCCCUUUCAGCUCUGGGCUGACCUUGAUCACAGUCUCAGCAGCACCAGUGGCUAUGAGGAUGAUGUUCUGGGUAGCCCCAUGCCCAUCAUACCACAGCUUCCUAGAGGAGCAGUCCACAGUCUUCUGAGUGGCAGUGAUGGCAUGGACUAUUGUCAUGAGUUCUUCCACGAAGCUGUCAUGGAUGACCUUGGCCCAGAGGGUGGAUGGUGAGGGGUGGGAGAGGUGGAGGGGGGUGUAAGCAGUUGCUGCUACA